rnacentral:rRNA from 1 species
UCCGCGCCGUAAACGAUGAGGACUAGAUGUUGGGGGGGUUAAACUCCUUAGUGUCGCAGCUAACGUAUUAAGUCCUCCGCCUGGGGAGUACGGCCGCAAGGUUAAAACUCAAAGGAAUUGACGGGGGCCCGCACAAGCGGUGGAGCAUGUGGUUUAAUUCGAUGCAACGCGAAGAACCUUACCUGCCCUUGACAUCCUCGGAAUCCUGCAGAGAUGCGGGAGUGCCUUCGGGA